rnacentral:lncRNA from 1 species
GCAACAACCCUCUGGAGGGCUGAGGCUGUGGUUCAUCCCAGCCUCUCCCAGGGUAUCACAGCUCCAGCCUGGUACUCAGGGUCCCUGGAGCAGGAUGUGGGGUACAGAUGGAGCCCAGCAGGCCUGCCUACAGCACCAGGCUGAGAGUUGUAAAGGAAAGAUGGGCUAGAGAUGAGAAACUAACAAAUCAAAGCUCCCGAAACCUGCUGCGGAGACAGAAACACAAAAUGCUUUGUUUGGAGAUGAAUAGAAAGCUGAAACCAGCAAAAAAAAUCCCCACUCCCCACGAGCACAGAUGUUUCAGAGUUAUAUCUGACACCAGAGUCCAUCAGACAGAGUCCUUACAAACACAGGAGUCCUGAAGACAUCGGCUGAAUGUUUUUCCUGGUAUAAAGAAGAAGAGGAGGAGGAAGAGGUGGUGACAGUGCGGAUGCAGUGGGUUUGGACGGGGGCUGAGGACGUGGUGGAAGGAGAGAGGUCGGUAUGUUUGUAGCAACGUUCUUAAAUUAUUUUUUAUUUUGUUCAUUUGUUCUCUUUUUAAAAAACAAAACCAAGAAAACAAACAAAAACCAAACCAACCCACCAUUAUUAUUUGCAAAUUGUU